GCAAUUUUCACUUAUUUCCUCUAUUUUCUAUCUCAUUGAAUCACGUCUCCACCUCUCUUCUGGCCGAUUCAUUACUAUUUUUUUUCACCUCUUUUUGUUGAUUUAACCACAGAUUCAUCCCCAAGAUAUCCAUCUAUUCUCUGUUGAUUUUACCACAGGUUAAUCCCCAAGAUUUCCAUCUAUUUUUGUCUAUUAUAUUCUUCUAUAUGUUCUACAGAUUCCAUGUGAAAUUUAGGAAUAAAAUGUUAGCAUCGACGAUUUGAAUCAGUGGAGAAUCUGGAGAUUGUUUCUCCUUCACUUCAUUAAUAAGGUCUAAGAGCAAAUCUUUAUUAAUUCCUUCUACUUCGAGUCUCGAGAACACAGUUAAGCAAUGAUGCAAAUAAUAUGGAGAGGAAAAGAUUUGACAGUUAGGAAUCUUGGUCAAUGAUAUUGGAUUCUGAGAAUGUUUGAGACUUGGGAAGCAUCUGAAGAUCAAGAGGAAUGGACGACUGAUCUUUCUCAGUUAUUUAUCGGCAAUACGUUUGCUUCUGGUGCACAUAGUAGAAUUUACAGAGGAAUUCAUAAGCAGAGAGCAGUUGUUGUAAAAAUGGUGAGAAUUCCAACUCAUAAUGAGGAAGCUAGAACUUUACUUGAACAACAAUUCAAUUCGGAAGUUGCCCUUCUUUCACAUCUUUAUCAUCCCAAUAUAGUGCAGAUUAGAUUUCCUUAUAUCUUUGUGAAUAAUGAAAAUCAUACAUUUUAGAUAAACUAGUCAUUCUGGAACAACACACAAAAUUUCAACUUCUUUUUCGUACUUAAUCCUGUCAAUUCCAACCUGCCAAACAUGUCUUUAAUAUAGUAAUUUAGACUUUGUUUUGAUGCACUUUUGACAAUAAUAGUAUUUCAACAACUAGUCAAUACCAUUACCAGCAAAUGAUUUUGACAAAAUUAAUUUAGCUUGCAUUUAGUUCACGUUUUCUUAGUGUCAAAGUUUGAUCAGAUUGGUGGAUUGACCUCUAGGGCAACAACCUAACGGAGAAGCUCUACUGUUAUGGUUUUAGAUGAUUAUAAAGCAUAAAAUCUUCACAACUAGCAAUUUAAACAUUUAAAAUUUCAUUUGCCCAUUGCAAUGUGGAAAUUUUGGACUUGGUUUAUAUUGCUCCCCUUCACAUGAUAAUGUGGGCAAGUGUUUGAAGCUCCACCACCAACAACAUCGUAAGUUGUUAUCUAAGAUUAGUAAUAGUAUUUCUGUCACUUGCUUGAGUUGUUUUGUCAUACUAAGUUAUGCAAAUGCUGUUUGAUAGAAUAUUAAGCACUAUUGAAGUACACAUAAUUGAGUUUUUCAUCUUUAAGGAUAUUUAAGAGCUUUUACUUCUUGUCAGCAUAGUUUCCAAUGACAAGUAUGGUUUGGUUUCUUCCAUCACUCUUCCUAGGUUGCAACCAGAUAAUCAUAAUAUGUUGGUUUCAUGCUCCUUGGGUUGUCAAUUUGGUUCUGGUCCCGUCUUGUUUCAAGGUAUGUCGAUUUCCCAUUUGGCUUUUGUGAUUUGGUACGAUAACUUUGGUGUUUAUUGGUCUUGGGAGUGGCACUGGCACUUGUAUUCUAAUCCAACAUUAUGGUAGCAUUGAUUUUUGCUCAUAUCAAUUUCCUUCACUAAUUAGAGUUUUGACUUUUUUUUAGUUUACAUUAUUUUUACAAUUUAACAAGUGUUUCACUUUGUUAAGUUCCAGAUUUAAAUGCAUCGUUGGUUUGAUGGAUGUCUACUCCGGACAAGUUGCAAGAAUUUAAGAAACUUUCUUUUGAAGAUCUAGAAUGAGAUAAUUCUAAUUUAAUUUUGUAUUUCCUUUUCAAGUAUGUAUUGCUAUUAGUAUAUAACAUAAUUAUAUUUUUCUACUAAACAACUACACUUGUCUAUUUCUACAAGACAUUAUUGAUGUAUGUUUUGGAAUUUA